rnacentral:rRNA from 1 species
GUGGUUUUAUUUCNAGCAACGCGAAGAACCUUACCAGGUCUUGACAUACCCCUAAAGGCUCUAGAGAUAGAGAGAUAGAUAUAGAGGAUACAGGUGGUGCAUGGUGGUCGUCAGCUCGUGUCGUGAGAUGUUGGGUUUAAGUCCCGCAACGAGCGCAACCCUUGUCGUUAGUUACCAUCAUUAAGUUGGGGACUCUAGCGAGACUGCCAGUGACAAACUGGAGGAAGGCGGGGAUGACGUCAAAUCAUCAUGCCCCUUAUGACCUGGGCUACACACGUGCUACAAUGGACGGAGCAGAGGGAAGCGAACCUGUGAGGGGGAGCAAAACCCAGAAAACCGUUCUCAGUUCGGAUUGUAGUCUGCAACUCGACUACAUGAAGUUGGAAUCACUAGUAAUCGCGAAUCAGAAUGUCGCGGUGAAUACGUUCUCGGGCCUUGUACACACCGCCCGUCACACCAUGAGAGUUGAUAACACCCGAAGCCGGUGGCCUAACCUGAUUACAGGAGGGAGCUGUCUAAGGUGGGAUUGAUGAUUAGGGUGAAGUCGUAACAAGGUAACC